rnacentral:lncRNA from 1 species
GGUUGGAUAAAGGGGCGUUGGGGGGGGUUGGGGUGGGUAUAACCAAUGUUUGGGACCCCCCCACAAAGUUGGGGACCCCCCCAAUGUCUUGGUUUUCUCGUCCUGGGGGGGAGAAUAAAAUGGGGGGGUCACCCAAGGGCUUGGGGUCACCCAUUGGGAGUAGGGACCCCAAUUGGGGUUGUGUGUGAGCCUAUGUGUUGGAUUAAGGGGCACUGGGGGGGUCAAGGGGGGGCUUCACCAAUGUUUGGGACCCCCCCCAAAGUUUGGGAUCCCCUCUUGCCCCCCCAGUGCCCCCCCAGGACCCUUCUGAGCCCACAUCCAACCCCAAUGGGGAACCCUACUCCUGGUGGGUGCCCCCCCAAGCCCUUGUGUGACCCCCCCAUUUUAUUCUCCCCCCCCAGAUGAGAAAUCCCAGACACUGGGGGGGUCCCCAACUUUGGGGGGGGCCCCCAAACAUUGGCGAUACCCCCCCCAAUACCACUUUAUCCAACCCAUAAGCCCACAUCCAACACCAAUGGGGGUCCCCAAGCCCUUGGUGACCCCCCCAUUUUAUUCUGCCCCCCCAGGACGAGAAAUCCCAGACACUGGGGUGGGUCCCACAUAUUGGGGGGGUCCCAAACACUGCGGGGGGGUCCCAAACAUCGGUUAUACCUACCCCAACCCUCCCCCAAUGCCCCUUUAUCCAACCCAUAGGCUCAAACCCAACCCCACUGGGGGUCCCCAAGCCCUUGGUGACCCCCCCAUUUUAUUCUCCCCCCCCAGGAUGACAAAACCAAGACAUUGGGGGGGUCAUACACGCGGCGGCGCGGCGCUCGCGGGAGGCGCGGCGGCUGAAGGAGAACCAGCUCUCGGCACGCGCCGCCCUCCUGGAGCGCGACAACGCGGCGCUGCGGCACGAGGUGGCGGCCGCCCGCCGGGACCUGGCCCGCCUCCGAGCCCUCCUCGCCCGCUACGAGGCCCGGCACGGCGCCCUCUGAGCCCCCCCGGGGGGAUCGGGGACCCCCCGGAGGAAUUGGGGACCCCCCGGGUGAUGGGGGGUCAUCGGGGUGGUGGGGUGACCCAAGGUGUUGGGGUGA